rnacentral:rRNA from 1 species
CAGUAGCCACGGUAAUCCGUAGGUGGCAAGCGUUGUCCGGAAUUAUUGGGCGUAAAGGGCUCGCAGGCGGUUUCUUAAGUCUGAUGUGAAAGCCCCCGGCUCAACCGGGGAGGGUCAUUGGAAACUGGGAAACUUGAGUGCAGAAGAGGAGAGUGGAAUUCCACGUGUAGCGGUGAAAUGCGUAGAGAUGUGGAGGAACACCAGUGGCGAAGGCGACUCCCUGGUCUGUAACUGACGCUGAGGAGCGAAAGCGUGGGGAGCGAACAGGAUUAGAGACCCGGGUAGUCCCUGUCUUAUACAC